CCAAUCUUAUCCCUUCCCAUUCACCUCUCCCAUUCCUUCUCUUCCUCCUGCAGCCUCUCCACCUCCUGUCCUCCUCCAGCCUCUCCUCCUCCUUCUCCUCCACCUCCUCCUCCUCCUCCUCCUGUCGGAGUAGGAAACCACGGCGGAUUAGCGACGGUGACGACGGCGACCGGGAGGGGCGCCGUGAUCCACGGCCGGGAAGGGCACGGGCGCGGGUGCAGGCGUGGCGGAUCCGGCCACCGCAGAGCCGCGGGCGGCGGAUCCGGCCGCCGGAGGGCCGCGGGGAGCGGAUCGGGGCGCGGGCGGCGGCGCGCGGCUGAUCCGGGCAAGGGCGGCCGCUCUCGGACGCCGGCGGCAGUGCGCGGCGGAUCCAGGCGCGGGCGGCGGCUCUCAGGCGCUGGCAGGGAGGCUAGAUCCGCCGCCGCUAGAUCGGUGGCGCCUGGCCGGUGGUCACCGGGGAGCUGCAUGCUAGCUGCAGAGAGGAGGCACGACCGCACGAGAGGAUCCUCUCUUCAGUUCAUGCGUUUGGUUCUGAUCUGUUUGCACGUGAAACCAUUUCUGCAGCGGGGCUCUGUGCAGCGGCGGAGGCCGGCGGGGCUCGGCAGCGGCCUCGUCGAGGCGGAGGCAGUGGAGGCUUGAAUGCUUGAAUUUUUUUGAUGCUUGAAUGCUUGGGGGAAUAGAAAUUUUUGACUGUAAAUUUAAAUUGUGCUUGUGUGAAUUGAAUUUUUUGACUAAUUUUUGCUUGGGUGAAUGGAAAUUUCUGUGGAUUUUUGAAUGGUGGAGCGUUGAUUUUUUUUUUAAACUUGGCCAGGAUUAACACUGGCGGCUGACACAGUGUUACCCGCCAACGAAAAAAUAUUUUCGCUGGCGGCCAUCUUAAGCCAGCCGCCAGUGAAAAUGGAUCUUUGCUGGCGGUUGGGCUUAAGACAACCGCCAGCGAAAAUGAAUUAUCGCUGGCGGCCAAAAACCGCUAGCGAAGAUUGUGAUUUUCA